rnacentral:tRNA from 2 species
GCCCCCAUAGUUUAACAAAAACAUUAGUCUUGUAAACUAAAUCUGAUCUCAUCUGAGGGCU